UUUAAAAAGAAAUUUAAAAAAAAAAAGGAAAAUGCCAUUUAAAAAAGGUGAAAGGAAUAAAUGAAAGGCAAGGAUCUCAAAAUUGAUUGCGAACAUGAACCCUUUUUCAUUAAGGAUUAAUAAGGAAAUUUGAUGAGGUCCUACAAAUGAUUCCCCCAUGCCUUGGGCUUGACAUGGGUUCUUUUGAUAAAAAGGAAAGGAAACAACAUUAGGAAUUACA
rnacentral:lncRNA from 1 species